rnacentral:rRNA from 1 species
UACGUAGGUGGCAAGCGUUAUCCGGAAUUAUUGGGCGUAAAGCGCGCGCAGGCGGUUUCUUAAGUCUGAUGUGAAAGCCCACGGCUCAACCGUGGGGGGUCAUUGGAAACUGGGGAACUUGAGUGCAGAAGAGAAAAGCGGAAUUCCACGUGUAGCGGUGAAAUGCGUAGAGAUGUGGAGGAACACCAGUGGCGAAGGCGGCUUUUUGGUCUGUAACUGACGCUGAGGCGCGAAAGCGUGGGGAGCAAACAGG